rnacentral:rRNA from 1 species
GGGGGAAUAUUGGACAAUGGGCGCAAGCCUGAUCCAGCAAUGCCGCGUGAGUGAUGAAGGCCUUAGGGUUGUAAAGCUCUUUUACCCGGGAAGAUAAUGACUGUACCGGGGGAAUAAGCCCCGGCUCACUCCGUGCCAGUAGCCGCGGUAAUACGGAGGGGGCUAGCGUCGUUCGGAAUUACUGGGCGUAAAGCGUACGUAGGCGGUGUCUCAAGUCAGAGGUGAAAGCCUGGAGCUCAACUCCAGAACUGCCUUUGAAACUAGGACGCUAGAAUUGCGGAGAGGUGAGUGGAAUUCCGAGUGUAGAGGUGAAAUUCGUAGAUAUUCGGAAGAACACCAGUGGCGAAGGCGGCUCACUGGACGCAUAUUGACGCUGAGGUACGAAAGCGUGGGGAGCAAA